AACCACCAAUAGCCCCCAAUCAUCCUGAACCCUUAGGCGGGCUUCAGUUCCUGCCACGUCGAGCAUUUACACUUUCGUACGGAUAAAUAUGUUGAAUCCGAGCGGUGUCGCCCUGGGGCCUGGGGUUGCAUUCCCAUUCACAGAGACUAUCCAUGAGGGAGCAGAUUCGUUGGAUGCAAAGAAUUAACUGGAGCAUUAGGCGAUCUGGGAGACAGAAGGUAGAUAAAAGCAGACAGGCCUCCCUUCAGAAUGCGGGUAUUGCAUACAUGGCGAAUGUACACAUUUUCCAAAAAAAAAAA
rnacentral:sRNA from 1 species